rnacentral:rRNA from 1 species
UUUUGGACAAUGGGCGCAAGCCUGAUCCAGCAAUGCCGCGUGCAGGAAGAAGGCCUUCGGGUUGUAAACUGCUUUUGUACGGAACGACACGGUCCUGGUUAAUACCUGGGGCUAAUGACGGUACCGUAAGAAUAAGCACCGGCUAACUACGUGCCAGCAGCCGCGGUAAUACGUAGGGUGCAAGCGUUAAUCGGAAUUACUGGGCGUAAGGCGUGCGCAGGCGGUUUUGUAAGACAGGCGUGAAAUCCCCGGGCUUAACCUGGGAAUGGCGCUUGUGACUGCAAAGCUGGAGUGCGGCAGAGGGGGAUGGAAUUCCGCGUGUAGCAGUGAAAUGCGUAGAUAUGCGGAGGAACACCGAGGCGAAGGCGGUCCCCUGGCCUUCGCUACGUCAGCAGAAGG